UGGGGAAUCUUGGACAAUGGGCGCAAGCCUGAUCCAGCCAUGCCGCGUGGAUGAUGAAGGCCUUAGGGUUGUAAAAUCCUUUCGUCGGGGACGAUAAUGACGGUACCCGAAGAAGAAGCUCCGGCUAACUUCGUGCCAGCAGCCGCGGUAAUACGAAGGGGGCUAGCGUUGUUCGGAUUUACUGGGCGUAAAGCGCGUGUAGGCGGGUCGUUAAGUUGGGGGUGAAAUCCCGAGGCUCAACCUCGGAACUGCCUUCAAAACUGGCGACCUGGAGCAAAGAAGAGGCGAGUGGAAUUGCGAGUGUAGAGGUGAAAUUCGUAGAUAUUCGCAGGAACACCAGUGGCGAAGGCGACUCGCUGGUCUUUUGCUGACGCUGAGACGCGAAAGCGUGGGGAGCAAACAG
rnacentral:rRNA from 1 species